ACCUAAAUGUCUGAGGGCACACGCGUCCUUAACACAGGACGAUGGGCACUUAGAUACCUAUAAAUACCCCCGCACAGUGCCCUUGAGAGGCUAGAUUAACAGAGCUAUUGCCAUCUCGUGCGAGAACCCUGUUUACGUCACUACACACCCCCGUUGGAUCCCCUUGCACCGGAGAGCAAGUUCCAACAUUUGGCGCCCACCGUUUGUGCUACGAAAAAACCACCCGCGAUGGCACCCAAGAAAGCUACCUCGAAGGCUGACGAGGCUGCGAAGGCAGCACUGCUGGCCGCAAAAAAGGGCAAGGCCCUCGCACUCACCCAUUCCACCCACCAAGAGGCUACUGAAGACGACGUUCUCCGCACCUGCGAAGACGACGCUCUCCGCACCUGCGGCCCCGAAGGACAACCGCAACCUCCCCCAGGCUUCGCCCCACCGGAGGGCGCGGACCUCACCGAGGACGGCGAAGUCCUCGGCGUCUCAGCGGAAGAACAGCUACAGCUGCGCGCCCUGCGCAUCAAGAACCGCAACCUCCAGAGGCAAAAAAGAUACUGGAGGCCAAGCGCCAACGCGUGUCCGCACUAGCCAAGGUGCGGCAAAUGAUACGCGACGAAGAGCAGAAGGCCCAGGACCUCGAGCGGGAGAUCGCGCUGAUGCAGCGCGAAGGCCACCUCGGCCUGCAGCACGGGCCACCCCUGCAACAGCGCGCACAACUGGAAGACAUACGCGAAGGCCACCACGGCCUGCAGCACGGGCCACCCCUGCAGCAGCGCGCGCAAAUGGAAGACCUGCACUUCCCCCAGCGCGACCACGCCUUCCCACACACCGUGCCUUUCCAAGGGGUCAACUACCUCGACGAGCGAAGUCCCCUGGCGCCACACCUGCAAGUGACACCCUGGCCUGCCAACUUCCGGGCAGGGACCUAUCCCAAGUACAACGGCAGCACGGACCCAGCACAGUACAUCAUGAGUUAUCAGGUCGCCGUUGCAUCUUCCGGAGGGGACGACGCCACGAUGGCCAAGUCUUUCAUCAUCGCCCUCGAAGGCCCAGCUCUCACCUGGUUCACCAGGUUGCCCCCGCUGUCCAUAGACUCCUGGAGAAGCCUCCGGGACAAAUUCCUGCUCAACUUCCAAGGGUACCGCCCAGACACCGACGCCUUGGCCGAGCUCUCACUCUGCAAGCAGCUGGAAAAAGAGACUCUGCGGGAGUAUUACCGCAAGUUUCUAACACUCAAGUCACAGCUGCCCUCAGUUGAUGACCAGAUCGCCAUCCACUACGCCAUCAGCGGCCUUCGCGCCGGCGUCCUUUACAGCCACUGCAUCAGGGACCCGCCCAAGAACCUCCAGGAAUUAUAUCAGCUCUUUGAAAAAUAUGCCAAAUUCGAAGAGCUCCACCAGCGCAAGGUUGAGUCUCAGAAGAAACCCAAAGAUGCUCCACAGUCCAGCCGCACAUGGACGAGGACUCCGCAGCCAGACUCCGGCCGAGAUGGCCGCAAUCAGCAGCAAGUACACAACAUCGCCAACCAGCACCCCGCUGCUGAUGCCCCUCGCUGCCAGGGGUAUCCUCCCAGGGCCGCGGAAACGGAACUCGCGGUAGGGGUCGGGGGCGUGCGCAGCCGCCGCGCCGGUUCUACUAUCUUUUCAUGGCGAAGACUGCGCCCACCAAACCAGAGACUGCCCAGAAACGAAGGCCACCAAAGACAGGAUGGCACGGGCGCAGCCAGCCGACAACCCCAGAGUUGUCGCGCACACUUAUCAGCAACCCCCUCCACCAUACAUCCACGCCCCCGCCCCGCAUCCACCGCACCACGCAUACCAACACCACCAGGAAGUACAAAUCGUACCUCCCCCACCCCCACCUCCACACCAGCAACAUCAGAACAUCCCCCACCCCCACGCCCCAAAACAAGAAGACUUCGCCGAUCAGCCGUAUCACGGAGUCAUUCAUAUGAUCACUGGGGGGUCCAGCACCGACUUCGACACAAAGCGGCAGAAGCGGGACCACUACCGCAACAUCAACCACGUCGUCAUCACCGGCCCAGUCGUGCAGACAAAGUGAUCCCACGUACCGCUAACCUUCGACGCACGAGACGUCGACCUGCGCAGCGCCCCCCACAUCGACGCCAUGGUUAUCAACUGCAGCGUGGCAGGCUGGGACCUGCACAAAGUCCUAGUCGACAAUGGCAGUCAAGAAGACAUCAUUUUCCUCCAUGCCUUCGACCGCAUGGGCAUAAGCCACAGCCUGCUCAAGCCUUCGGACAACCCAUUGUAUGGUUUCGGCGGCAAGGGCACUUUUCCUGUCGGCAAAAUAGAGCUGCCUCUCUCCUUCGGUGUAGCACCCAAUGACCGAAGUGAGCAAAUAACCUUUGAUAUCGUUGAUAUGGUGUAUCCGUACAAUGCCAUCAUGGGCCGGGGCUCUAUCAACAAGUUUGAGACAGCCAUUCACAGACUGUACAUGUGCAUGAAGAUCGGAAUUCAAGAUUCUUCAAGUAGAAGAGUACCUUGAGAAGGAAGGUAUCAAGGAUGAGUUUCUUUGCCCCCUACACUCCACAAUAAAAUGGCUUGGUGGAGAGGAAUAACAUGACACUAAUUGACAUGGUGAGAACUAUGUUGGAAGAAUACCAGGCACCAGAGCGAUUUUGGUCGGAAGCUGUGAAUACAGCUGCCAUGCCAUAAACUGCCUCUAUCUUAACCGGUAACAAACCCAAUGUUUCUUACUUUCGUGUAUUUGAGAGCAAAUGCUACAUUUUGGUUAAGAAAGGUAAGCAUUCAAAGUUUGCUCCCAAAGUCGUUGAAGGGGUUUUACUUGAUUAUGAUUCAAAUACAAAAGCAUAUAGGGUCUUCAACAAAUCCUCUGGACUAGUUGAAGCCACGUGUGAUGUUGUAUUUGAUGAAACUAAUGGCUCUCCAAGAGAGCAAUUUGAUCUUGUCUUGUUGUAACACUCAAAAAUUCUAAUUUUCGGUCUAGUAAAAUUCUUCAAACGAUUCGAAUUAAAAAAUGUAUUCUUAAUAAAGAUUUCCUUAAUUUUGAAGCUGUUUUCCUAAAACAAAUAAACAGUAAUAUUAAAAAUUUGCUAUGUAUUUAAAUUGUUGUCUUAAAUAAAUAUAUGUUAAAAUACUUUACGUGAAUUAUUCAUAUUAAAUUUAGGAGUAUUUGUUCAAAUGAAAUGAAUUAUAUAUAUAUAUAUAUAUAUAUAUAUAUAUAUAUAUAUAUAUAUAUAUAUAUAUAUAUAUAUAUAUAUAUAUAUAUAUAUAUACACAUGUCGAGUUGUGUUUGUGCACUCAAUUUGAAGUUUUAAAUAUAAACUCAAAUUUGAAUAAAAAAACAGAAAUGGAAAUAUAAUAUAUAAAAAAAACUUAGAAAAAAAAUAGAUGAAAAACCAAAAAGAAACCGAAGUUGUGCUCCUUGCCUAUCCCGGUUAGACUCGGCCCAUGGGCGAGCAUUGAUUAGCCGGUCCUAGCAUGUUUCCCAAACCAGUACAGCCCACGUUCCUGUUUUCAUUUCUUUAUUAGUUCAGCCACGCGCUCACAUCAUCAUGACGACAGGGUGACUCCAGCACAUAUUUUACUCGUUUCGUGGCCGGCAGCUGGACCCAUACCGUCAGCCUGUUCGUGCUUUUGCUUUUUGGCUACGAAGGGAACUGGGCUGUAGCCUACAAGGAAACAACCUCGCGCGAGAUUUCAGGUUUUAGUUGGGAUUUGUAUUUGCUCCAGGGUAUAUAAUGGAGCACCUGAUAUCCUCUCCCAUCUAUCGCAAAGGAACGAACAGAACCCAGAAAAAAAAUCGAAGUAGACCUCGCGGACGCCAAGAGCUAGGAGAGAGAGAGAGGAUGCUGUCGAAGUAGAAUUGAAGCCAUAGUCGCCGUCGUGCCUCUGCUGGGGUUCGCAGGGAGACGACCGACCUUGUGAAGAUGUUCGAAGAAGUCGCCGAGCACGAUGAUGAAUCGGGGCUGUGGGGACUCUUCACCAAAGUUUGUGAGAGCUACAGAACCGCACAACAAUGAGGCCAGGAAAUUCCACCAUCACCAUCGGUACGAACCCUCCCUCCUGUAUGGUUAUGAUCUCUGCUUCGUUUUUUUUUCACGCGUAGGCACAUGAAACUAGUGUCCGUGUACCGAUGAUCUCUCGCCGACUUUGUGACAUAGACGCGAAUUCGCCCUGUGCCGUGGGCAGGGACGCUAGGCUGUACGACCACUGUGAAAUCCCAUUGUUGAUUUUCUAGUUGAUAUCUGCUUCAUGUAGCACAUGUUAGAAGGAGUGGUUGAGCGCCAGAACAUCGAUUCGGUGAUCGCCGGUGGGGGCUCCGCCGUGUAGAGCGUCGCGCCGCCGCCUGGCGUCGUUGGGAGGAAGAAGGGUGCGUGGCCGUGGAUCCAUUAACAGGCGGCCUAGAUUAGUCCUGGCAUAUCGCUUGGGGCGUUUGGAUAUGUGUCGUUGGAUCGGCAUCCUACGGCUCGCAUCAGAUCACGAUCCAUUAAGUUGUAGCCAUCGGAUCUAGAUCCAAUGGUCUGUAUUACGUACCGGUUCGUCGUAGCCGGCUUUUAAUAUGGGCCCUCAGUUCUGGAUCGGACGGAUCUGAUUAUCCCGUACCCUUUCGUCGUGGAAAGUUUACGUAAGAGACCCCGAUAUUCUUCAUAAAAAACCCGCAGUCCACACUGUGGGAGUUCUGAGUCUUGGUGUCUUUUGCGCAAAACCCCCUGGGUUUCUGUUAAAUAGUGGCCGCAGUCCAAGUACCUUAGAAAACUAUUAGAUUUAAUUCAAAAAUUCUUUUUAAAUGCAAAAUAAUAUCCCAAACUUAGGAAAUUCAUAGUUAAUUCAUUUUAACUCCAAAUUGAGUCAUUCUAGUUGCAAUAAUUUUGUAUUAAUAUUGUUUAUCACCUAGUACCUUUGUUUAACCAUGAAACUUGAAUUAAAAUUGCUCAAUUGAAUUAAUCUAUUCUAGGUGCUAAAUAAUUUCAGAAAUUCAUAACUUAAUAAUCGUACCUCCGAAUUUAGCGGUUCUCGAUCCCACGAUCUCGUAGCAAGACGUAGAUCAUUAUUAUUCAGUUCUUACAUUUGGUGUGAUGUUAAUUUUGCCUAUACACUGUUUGUAUGUAUUGCUACGUUUAGCAGUGAGGAUACGUGUUAUCAGAAGAGCAAGUUGGUACCUGGAAUCUCAAGGCCCAGGCAAGUUGUGCCCUUGAUCACUUCUUUUUACCCAGCCAUGUUCUAAUUAAUCAUAAUGAUCUGCAUAGGUUAAUUUUGAUGGGACCCAAUAGGUUACCCUAGUUUGAUUAUCUUUAUACCUUGUUACCACUGAACUUUUUGGGUAGUACUUGCUAGUGCUUUAUGUGGUUUUGGGUAUGAAGAUACAUUACUCAUGAUUAUACUUUUGUUAUCCGUUGUUAUUUAUCGUUCAUGAUAAGAUCAUUAUGUUAAUUGGAACAUGGAGCGACCACCCGGGAAAACAGUGCUACCACAAGGGUAUAAUGGGACGCCCUUGGCUGAUUAAUUAGGAAAGCUAGUGGAGGACUACCUUACCCGAAAGGGGCAAGGGCAGUAGGGGAGUGGUCAGUGUAGGGAGGCCCUCGGGAGGAUUUUGCUGCGAUGGCGGUCCUGCAAGGGAAUUCCUGCAUUGGAGCUUCCUAUAAACUGUAGCGGGUUUUCUGAAGCUAGUGGAACUUUGUAAAGGCCUCGUAGUGUUACCCUGCCUCGCCUCCUCGGUAGAGGUGUAUGGGAAGUCGCGAUCCCUUGGCAGAUGGGUAACAUGACUUGUGGGUAAAGAUGCGCAACCUCUGCAGAGUGUAAAACUGGUAUACUAGCCGUGCUCACGGUCAUGAGCAACUCGGACCCUCACAUGAUUAAUUUAUGGAACUAAAUUCAAUAUAUCAUAUGCAUUGCAUCGCAGGUGAUGUUGUUACUUUUGUUCUACUACUUAAUUGGGUUGGUAUUUACUUAUACUUAGUAAUUGCUAAUAAAAUUUUGACCAACUUUAAAAGCAAUGCUCAGCUCUAACCAUCCUCUUUGGUAAGCCUUACACUUCACGUGAACUCCCACCUUUGGCGAGUUUAUUCACAUUAUUCCCCACAACUUGUUGAGCGAUGAACGUAUGUGAGCUCACUCUUGCUGUCUCACACCCCCCACAGGUCAAGAUCAGGUACCGCAGGAUGAGGCGCAUGGAGGAUGCUGUGAUGUGUUCGUGAGAGGUCUAGGCCGUCGUCUCCCAGUCAACUUUGGGUUGCUGGAUCGUUUCCUCAUAUGAUGUAAUUAUUUAAUUAUUUUUGUACAGAACUCCUGUUAUAUAGUAAAGAUGUGACAUUCGAUCCUGUGCCACUAUGCAUCAUAUGUGUGAGAUUUGGUCCCAGCACACCUGGUGUUUAUGUUCGCGCCCGGGUUUUGGACCCCUAAAAUCCGGGUGUGACACUUGUCGAGACGGAUAGUUUGAAGAACUGGAGCUACUUGAGCUACGGGUUCCAUCUUGGACAGGAAAUGAAACCGAACGACAUCGAUAGCUUAUUGUCUCCCGCUGUGAAUGAGGUGCAUCAUGGUAAAAAUCUUGAAACAAUAACUAAACCAUAAACUAUUGGACAUUCACAUUUAACAAUAACUAAACCAUGGCACAUUUACCAAUAACUAAUACAUAAACCAUAAGCCAUCACAUAUAUAACAAUACUAACUCAUCUUCACAUAUAGCAUAUAGCAUCUUCACAUAUAGCAUAUAACAUCUUCAUAUAUAACACUUAAACUUGGCAAAAAUAGCAUCUAACAAUAAAUCAUCUUCACAUAGCACAUAACAGUAAACAAGACUAAUAUGCCUAAACUGACCACUAAAUGUCUAAACUACAACUCAAUCUUGGCAUUAAAUCCGCUUUCCCAACAAAAAACGGUGGUUUUACUCGUCCAAAAUGGCGGUUUACCGGUCCAAAAAGAUUUACCGGAGGUUUUCGUUUUUUAUGAAAUUUUUCAAAUUUUUUGAAUUUGGGGCGGAUUUUGAAAAAAAACCGGUGGUUAACCGAAACCGCGCCCCAACGGUUUCGGUAAACCGACCGGUUUGCCGCCAAAUCCGGUCGAUUUUGUAAACCCUGGUCGAGCCAUGGAGGAGUAGAGUUGGUGCCUGCAGUACGGAGCCCGGUCGUCUGUCUAGAUAUGACGCGUUGAAGUCAACGCAUUUUUUAAAGAAAGUAGAAAAAAGACAUCAGAGGACAACACAAGGUUAAUUGACAUGCCGCAUAUAGCAAGGUUAUGUAACGUUGCGGUUGCGGCUAAUGACUUGGUCAUGGCAAAAUAAUAGUGGGGUCCUCUCUUUUGUCUUCGUCAGCCCCUACCGCAUUCUCUAUACCUCUACUUUAUAUUUCUCCUAUUCAUAUUUUUUUUAAAAAAUCACUCCUCUAUAUAUCAUUUCUCUCCAACACCAUAUUCUAAAAGUGUUAAUACUAGAUAUAUAUUUUAUCUCUAAUUUUUUUGUACAUAUAUAUUUAUCAUACAAUUAAAUAUCUUAUAUAUAAUAGCUUUCCUUAAUCUAUUAUUUAAAAUAUAAAAAAGAGAUAUAGGAGAAAAUGGAGUCAUUACAAAUUUCUUAUAAUAAAGCUAGGAGCAAAAUUGGACCCAUAACACGUCAAAGUCGUUGUUUUUAUCAUCAGUCAUUGGGCACCAAGCACCACACGGCCACCUCCUCUUGCUCAAUGCGUCGGAAGCCUCAGCCGCAUAAAACCCGUUCGACGGCUAAGACGGCGCGCAAUGAACAGCACAGCUACUGAUAUCACACUCAAUGAUAUACAAGAAAUGAGUAUAAAUUCUGAUAGCACAUAAGAAAAUUUUUCAUAAAAGAAAGCCAGGGCAGGCGGCUAUUGUUUGAAGCCAAGGUAUUUCAUGAUAGAUAUAUACAAUGCUAUUGUGAAAGUUCGGUCUCAAAAUAUUUUACAUAUCCAGGGUUCAAAAUUUGUCGUAGAAAAAUAUGUACACAUUGGUGUCAAACCCGGUGUCUGCAGCACUACAAGACAAAAUUUGUGGAUCACUUCUUUCUUUUACAGAGUGUCUUUGUGUCCGCGGGUAGACUAUUUUCAGCUGACUACUGAUAAGUAGACCAUUUUUCUUAACUUUUUUAUUUCUUUUUCUUUGGUGUCACGAUAAAUCUGAUAUAACAUUUCUUGCAGCCCGACUAGACCACUUUGUUAUAGUUGCUUUUAAAUUCACUAGUGCUAAUAUUUAGUUAGCUAGUAUGUAAAUAAUUAUUAGCAAAGUGUUGUUUGAUUCACGUAUAUGAACCAUUAGCACAUCUUCACCAACUAAUGAAUUUAGAUUCGCCUCUCUAUUUGCUAAGGGCAAUAUAUAUUUUUUUCAGUUACUGUAGCAGUCAUUUAAUAUGUGUCACUGACAUGGCAAAUUAUUUGCCACACACCUCCAAAUAGUGAGAAAUAUUUAUUUUUUCCUAUUUGUUAAUAAUGUUAGUUUUACAGCCUAUUUGUUUGGUUUUAAUCCGUACCGGCUUCUACAGCUUCUACAAUAUUUUUAUCUCUAUGCAUUACAGUUACAGCAGAGUAGGCUUUAAUUCGAAUCGAACAGCUACUAACAAUAUUGGCAAGAUUAGAUCCAAACAUGUCCAAAGUAGAGUGGCAUAUUAAUUAUUUUGAAUAGGGAGACUAGAUCUCUAAAUAAAAGUAGAAAUGGUUUGGUUUGACCUGUUAUAUUAUUGUUUAAUUAUGAUAGAUCCAAAGAGGCCAAACAAACUGCACAAACAUCCAAAGACCCCAAGGGUCCGGAAGUUGCUAAAGUCAUGAUCCUUGCCGGCUGCAUUUUAUGCGAAAGUUCAAAAUACUAGUUCGCUAGAAGUCGCUUUCUGCGUUUACCUCACAGGCAUUGACCGAAUCCUAUUCCUACAUGUCAUCUUUCCUAAAAAAACAUGUCACCUUCAGCUCCGACUGGAUUGACCCAAUUGAAACUGUUCCAACAGCGAGGGAAUGAAAGCUUCGCUCAGAUGUUAAAAACGCGUAGAAUUAGCCGAUGCUUUCUUCAACAUCUCUUCGUACGCAGUCUUCCUCAGCCCACAGGCCCGUCUACUUUAUGAGCCUGGUUAGUUGGAGCUCUCUAGGCAGCCCAUACAACAAUCUAACUAUCUGACUGACGCAGCGCUAGGCCUUCGGGUGUUGAGUAUUGCCUGAGCUGAAACCAAAUGGCCCCAUAACUUGAAGCUACUUUAUUUUACUCCCUAUGUUCUUCCUCCUUCUCCAAAAUACUAGUCAUUUUAGCUCUUAAUUUUUAUAUCUACAUUCAAAUAGAUAAAGAUAAAUUUAAACACAUAUAAAACACAUACAUCAAUUAUUGUGUGGAUCUAAUAAAUUUCUAAAACAAAUUUUACUUUAGGACAGAGAGAGUAUUCAUUUUAGUGUGUUGAUGAAUUUAUACAAUAUUUGAUAAAUAUGUCUAGAUUUAUCGUCAUCCAUUUAAAUAUACAAAAAAAAUAAAGUGCUAAAAUUACUAAGGGUCUGUUUGCUAGUACAUAGUCGUGGGCUGUGUUUGUGAGAGUGUGUGGGGGGUGUCAAGAACAAAAAUGGCGUAAAAUCAGCUCAUUGUCGUUUGUCCUUACAUUAUACCCCUAUAUAAUCUACCAGUUAAAAUAUCACUAAAUACAUACAACAAAUAACUCCUAGCCAAAUCUCACCAUUAAAACCAACGAUCGAGAUCGCUUCAUUUAUUUUAUCUCUCUUAAUCAAUCGCAUCCAACUGCGAGUGUUUCUCGGAUCAUCCCCUCAUCCCUCACUCGUCUCUAGCCUUCCCAUCCCUCCAUUUCGCCAAGGAAGAAAAAGGAAAAAACACAUAAGGGGUUGGAGAGGAACGGGCAGGGACAGAAGGUUCAAGCCCUAGCGCAGGAAUGGCAGGUUGGUGCGAGGAGGCAGUGGCGUUGCUGCAGCACCUCGUGGUGGCGGAGAAUAUAGUCGUCGACGUGCUACUCUGUGUGGUGUCGAUCUAGGCCACUAUCAUGAUCGGCCUCGUCAUCGACUAGUCCUGGCACCCGCGCUGAACGGGGCUGCUCUUCCUUGACCUCCACACCCGCCUUCGCUUCAUCUGGGUGUCGCCCGGCCUCGAGACCCGGAGUCUCUGGUUCGUCUGCUCUGUCAUGCCCAGGCUCCUCUCCUCUGCAUUCUUCCACUUUAGAGGCAAGCAACUGGACAAGGCCUCUCCUGAUGACGAUGUCGUUGUAAUCCAGGGCAACAGAGGUUGCUCCGAUGACAGGUGAGUGUCUUAGUGGUUGAAUCUAUUUUACAUUAUGGCGAUGGGCGGCAUUGAUCGGGGAGCACAUGUAAGUGUUGUCAAGUGUCUCUCUUGGAGACCAUUUGUCUUUCAAUUUGGAUUUAUAUUGAAUUAUAUUGUGGUUCAUUCAGGGGCGACCCUAUCCUUGUGUUGGAGGCAGUUUAGGAGAUUUGAACUUUUUUCCCCCAUGAAAAUUAUUGUACUAUCUUUAAGCUAACUUGAUGAGCUGACACAUGUUGAUAGAGUUGGAGUGGAAUGCGUGAUUGUAUUUUGAAUUGGUGACAUAGAGCGAUGUUGGAAACUUGUGCCUUCGCUGGUAGAAGAGUUUGUACUCUGUAGCUCUGUCUUUGGUCCGUGAAAUUACUAUUUAUGUAAGCUAUAUAAAGAUCUUUGGUGAUUGGUUAAUUUUGUUUGCUUUUCACCAUGGAAGGAUUCACAACAUAAACUUGCGUGCUGCUAGGGUUUCAUCGUGGUUGUGGUUUAUUCUAUCCUUGUCUGGUGAUUGUAGUAUGUGUUCUUGCAGUGAACUUGUUCUUGUCAACAUAAGAAAGCACCACAUUUCAUAUUUUUUUUGUGAAAACUUAGUUCGGUAUUUAUCAUUUUCUAAUCACUAAGACAAAUUUUGAGGGCGGGCAUGAUAUUGUAUAAUCUGUUUUCACCAAAUGGUUGAAAAAGGGCACGAUGGUGACUUGGUUAAGUAGCGUGGUUGGCCAGGAUGUGCGAGGAUGGCGGCACGACGAGCACCUCCCCGAGCAGGCAUUUUACUAGUAGGAAUAAAAACGAGAAACAAUUAUAGUCAUUCUCAAGAAAAAUGUUUGUCUCUUGACCUAUUAGGCAUCGAUUCUAUUGAUUCUUGCAAAAUGAUAAAUGUUUCCAAAUAGGGCCUUAGUAAUCAAACAAAUAUGUUUUACGAGCUAUAGACAACCAUUAUCUCUAAUCUACCAUAUAGAUUAUGAUUCAAAAGUCAAAAGUUUAUCCCUUCUUUAGUUUGCUUGAUCAACCUAUUAGUUUUCUAAAAUCUAGGUUAAUGAAACCAACCUUAGUAAAAAUCAUGGCUCAUGUUGUAGGGAAACCCUAGCUCCACAGUACCACCACGCUCCUUCAUUUCUAGCCACCUUAACACCAUUGUUGCUUCCUACACCUGCUUGAGUCCAUUAAGCAUCCCCUUCGUUUCUCAGCCUCAGUCCUCCACCUCUCUUCUUCAGACUUGAUAAAGCCACAAUCGUGCACAAAUGCCAAGCUACAGUACUAGAGAGGAGUAACCCUAUGGAGUAUAUAGUUCAUGAAGGCUUUAAAGAAGAAGGGAGCCCCAGUCACCCCUUAAAUAGCUAAGGGACAGGGUUACAAAGAACACAAAGAAAGAGGCUAGAGGGUUCUUACUUCUUACACGUGAACUAAUCAUCUGGAGGGUCCCUUGGAUUGGCAUCAUGUUGUUCAAUCAUCAUUAAUGUUGCCAUCCUACCAUGUUUGUGGAGGAGAUCAUGAGAGCAAUUAACUCUAAGAGACCAUGUCUGCAUCAUAGCAGAUAGAAUAUGGUUGUUACAAUGGUCAAUGUGACCUGACCUAUAUUGAUGAGGACGUUACUUCUCCGAAUACCACCAUUGGAAACGAAGAGGGCCAUGAUGGGUGUCCAAAUCAUGGUGGAGUCCAAGUACAACUUAAGUUGGUGUCUAUAUUAGAUUCUAGGAGGAAAUCUAGGUAAAAAUGUCUAGUAUGCAUACAUGAUUCAUUUUCAAUGCUCCAGUAUAUGAUUGGAAAGAUAAUUUCAUUUGGCUUCAUAUGGCCAUAAAAGUUCCUGAUGGACCUUGAGGGCCCCUAGGAUCCCAGAUGGCCCUGAAGACUCCAAGAGCCCAUAAUGUCCCGAGAGCAUUGAAGGAUCCUUGAUGUCCCAAUGGCCACAUCAUCCUCCCCCUCGAAAGUCCUAAGGGCCUCAGAGGGCCCCCAAACGUACACCUAAUGGCCACUAGGACCCCAAACGUCCUAAGGGACACAGUAGGCUCCUAGGCAUUAGAAGGGCGCUGCUCUUCCAAGAAUUCAAACACCCCGUGAUCCACAGUGGGCCUCGUACGUUCCAAGGCAAAGAGAGGUGAAUUUUCCUAGAGACAUUAGGGACUCGAACAUCCUAAAAGCCAUAUGAUGCCCUAGGAUGUCCUAAGAGACAUGGGAGCUCUAGAUAUUACGAGGGCUACUGGAGAUCCCCGGAUGUUUCGAGAGCCAUGGGCCCCAACGUAUUUCAUAUAUGCCUAGAAUUAACUUGAUUAAAUUAGAAAAAAUAUGAGCCAUAAACAUAUUAAAACUAACGAGUGUUUGGUUUAGCUUUAUGAACCAGAUUCACUGCCAAAAAUCUGAAAUCACAACUAAAUGGGUUCUACAACAGAAUAGAUUCCUAAAAAACUACAUAUUCCUCUGGUUCAAUUCAGAAUCACCUCCUACCCCAAAUUUUCUAGAUUCCUAUCAUCAAUGUUACCAACCUAUCAUGCUCCUAUAGAAUCUAUAGUAGUCACACUUAUUUCAACCAAAUAUAUUUUAGUUUUUCCACAAUCGUCAGCUCGCAAUAGCUUUCUCACACCUCACAUCUAGAAUCAUAUUUUCAGGAAUCUAUUGUUGAACCAAAUAGGCCCCUUAGGAGCCUCAGAUUAAUUAGUUGUUGAACAUGUUGUAUCUACAGUGAUGAAUCAAAUAUUGUAGGCGGCUGUCGGUCUUCAAUGUCGAGCCCAUGUUGUAUCAUGAGAUGAUACUGUUUUCCUCUCUUACAUAACUACAUCAUGCCACCUGACGAUGAAUUAAUUUGGAAUGGACUCAGAGGAUCAGUUAGUACACUGAACAUUGUACAACACAUGAAUGUGCAUUCUCAGUUGCGAUAAAAGAUCAGUAUUUUGUGUGGGUGUCGUACAAAUACGUAUGCAUGUGCAGUAAGAGUGCACUACAGUAAAACAAGGCAUUUCCGAUGGCCAAAGCCGUCGGAGAUAAGCACGAAGGCUUAUGUCCGACGGUACCCGUCCCUCGGCCGUAAAGGGUCGGAAAUAGUCUUAUUUCCGACGACGGACAUCGGACAUAAGCCAUGUACGACGACCACUUUCGACCAUCGACGUUUAUCCUCGUUAACAGUCAUAAUGGCCGUCGGCGGGCCCACGUCGCUUAUGUUCGACGACCUAUGAUAAACCGUCGGACAUAAGGAAGUCUAUGUCCAAUGGUUUAUGUUAAGCCGUCGGACAUAAUGAAUUUCAGCAGUUGCAAAACAUCUUAUUUUUGUAAAUUUCUGACAUUUACAGAAAAAACCACAUAUUUCAUAUAUAUACACAGAUUUCAUAUACAACCACAUAUUCACAUUCACAAUUAUAUUCACAAACAUCAAUUCACAUAAGUAUUCACAUUCACAAACAUCACCUCACAUUCACAAACAUAUAGUUCUAAAUACUUGCAAUAAGUCUUUUACAUCAACAUAUAGUUCCAAAUUAAACACUGACAUAGUUCGACACAUUGUCUUUGACAUGAACACUGACAUAGUUCGACACAUAGUCUUUGACAUGAACACUGACAUAGUUCGACACAUAGUCUUUGACAUGAACACUGACAUAGUUUCAAAUCAAACACAUUCGAUGAACUGUCACUCAUAUCCAUCACCUGGUUGGUUCGAGUUAUAGCCACUACCUCCGGCUGGACCUGGGUGUUGAAAAGGUUGUUCAACCAAGAAUUCGAUGCGUCGUCUUGACCAGACACAUCUCCAAGUGCGGCAACUGAAGCAGGAGGUGUCUGAAAUCCCUAUAACAUACGCACAUGAAAUAUUAACCACUAAGUUUUUCAUUUUAACACAUAAGCCAUCUAUGAACAUGUCACACAUGCAUAUGUGUACAUACACAGUGAAUUGUGGCGGAGUUGGCAUCAUUGGCGGCGGCGGUAGUGCAAAGUCCGGAGGCGGCAUCCUAUAUGUCGGCAUCGGGACGCCCGCUUGUUGUGCCAGUUGCUACAAAAUAGAUACAAGCCAUUGUUAAGAAAAUAAGGUACACAUCAUGUGUUUUUAGUUGUUACAAACAAAAUGUUACUUCAACUUAUCGAGAGUAGAGCUUGAUUAUGGGCCUAGAGGUUUGAAUAAUAUGCAUCCUUCUACUUCUGGUACUCAGCUUGCUGCCUCUGGUAUUUGUUCCCUCAAAACUGAUUGAUGAUACUCUGCCUGCUGACGCAAAACUGCAAUCUCUAUCUCUUGGGCGAAUGAUCGAGAACGGGAUGACUACGAAGACGAGGAUGUGGACUGUCAUCCAUGACGUCUCAGCUCCUAGAAUCAAUCAUAGAAUCAAAAAUACCCAACCUACAAGAGUGAACCAUGUACUUAGUAGAGUAAACCAUGGACUCGGUUCAAUCGGAAGCAUAUGAGAAUAAUUUUGAAAUCCAAAUCAAAUACUCUCACCAUCCACGGGCUUGUCCUCUUGCGCUAGCAUAUGCUGCUUGAUGGUCGAUUGGCUGGCUCGUCCAAUCGUAGUCCUGCCCAUGGUGCUGAACCAUCUCCUGACCAUACGAAGCCUGGAGGCAAACAUACCAAAUAUAAGUGCAUCACUAAGUUGAUGCACAAACACAUAAUAGAGUACCAAAAACUCACUAGACGGUCGGUGGCUGUCUGAGUGCAUAAAACAUUAGGAUUCUGAGGAUCAGAACCCCUAUGCCCUUGCAUAUACACCUCCACAUCCAUGGGCGUAUGGCCGGAUUUGACUUCCUAUACAUACAAGUUAGAAUGACACAUUUAUAUGUAAUUCAAAGUUACAACAUACUGUGAUAUACCAUUCUCUUAGCCAAGCGCACAUGUCCAUCGCUGUCGUAGUUAUGGAACGACUCAGUACCACGGUUUCCCCUGUUUCUUUCGGAAAUGACACGAAACUCAGGGGAACCCACCACCUGCACAAGGCCUGAUAACCCUCUAAUCGGGUGGCCAUCCACGGCACAGACACCUACAUGAAAUGUUUUUCAAUCAAGCAAAUAGAUGGAUUAACAUGUACCCAAAACAAGAAUCGGCAAAAAACGAUAUGAGAUGCAACAACUUGUUUACCUCAAGGUAUUGCUACUCCUUAAGGUAAAUUGAUGGCCACUCUGCCUUGGUAUUCGGCAUCAACCGAUCAUCAACACUUGCUCUGUACCAUGCCUUUAUAGCCUGAAUUCGUGCAUAGUACAUUGGAUCUGCAAUGACAUCGUUUGCGUUAUACUCAAACACGUAACGAGCGUUCAUACCAUAUGAUCCAUCUUCCGGCAACUUGUACCGUUUCAGCAAAAAAAUAGUGUUAUCAUACAAGCAACCAUAUAUGGGAUAAAGAAAUUAGUAAAAACAAUUCAUACCCAGAUUGCAUCCCAAACUAGUGCAUGUGUGUUGUCAAACGUUCUACAGACACCAUAGUGAUAAUGCUCCCAAGUGGUGGCUGGGACAAACUCGCCACUAGGAAAAGUCACAAGACCAGGCCAGUGCAGACGAACAAGAUUAUCAAGGACCAUGUUCACCUACCUGUAGUGUCCUGUGCCUGUGAACGAGGCAUCGGUCCAAGUCCUGCAAGCAGAAAACAAUGUAGAAAUAAAAACAUAACUUUCGAUAAAAAAUAAGUAAAGAUAUGUCACUCACUUUCCACUUGGCUUUAUCAAAACUCGAUAUUCGGGUGGAAGCUUUGGAGGUGGUCCAACAAAAUGCAACUUCCUCAUUCUCCUAACUCGAGAAGUUCCAGACCCAGUUGUGGAAUCUCCACCAUCACCAGAAUCCACGCCUGCAAAAUGUCCACCAGCAUCGUCUCCACCAUCAUCUCCCACAUCAUCUCCACCACCAUCUUCAUCAUCAUCUCUCGCAUGGUCCUCUACCACCGCCCCAACUAUAGCAUCUUCUCUCAACUGUCGCUCGAUUUCAACAUCCUAUGAAACAAGUAACUUACAUCAUACAACAUUAAGUAACUUACAUAAUGUAAAACUUACAUCGUCUAGAGGAAAAUGUUCUGCCAGCGCUCUACGUCUGCUCAUGGUAGAACAUGCGCCCUAAAAAACUGAAUCCUCACUCCUCGAGCUGCUUGUCACACCCGGUUUUAGAAGGCAAACCGAAUGCGAACCAUGUACGUGCCAGGAUCAGCAAUUCACGUACACAGCAGUUACAUAACUGGAAAUCAUCACACAAUGCUCAAAUAGUAUUAAAAAAGGCAAUAAUAGUCUAUUACAUCAUAUGUCUGAGACAUCCACAUAGUCUUUACAAUAAUCAAAGUGCGAAAACGAAACGUAGAUACACGCGGCCUUCACAGGCAGCCGACUGGGGGUUGCCGCUAACCCACACCUAGAACUCAUCGUAAUCUUGGAACUCCUGGUGGUCUCCUUCCACAGCUUCAUCCUCUCCUUAGCAGGGGUUGCAAUGCUGACAACCUGAGGAUGGGGGUGGUUUGGUGUGUAGAGCAAGGGUGAGUACACAUCAACAUACUCAGCAAGUAUCCUGUUUGGCUGUAGUGGACUAGCUUUAUGUGGGGGUAAGUCAAGCAUAUUGCUUUUACUUGGUCAGAUUAUUAUUACUAGUAGAGAAAGCCAAGUUUUAUAAUUAACCCACGUUAUUAACCCAAAUGUACUCCUUUCCAAACGGAAAGGGUACCACUUUCCAUUACCAGAGUUAAUACCAAGAACCAUCAAUCUCAUUGCCACCUGCAAUCCGAACAUCUCUGAUCAAGUACCACUAAUCACUGGAGCUCCCUUGGCCGCUCAUAACCGUGAGCACGACUGAUAUAUCAGUUUUCAAACACUCUGCAGAGGUUGUGCACUUUACCCACAAGCCAUGAUUCCCUUUCUGCCCGGAGAUCAUGACUCUCCAUUGAUCACUACCAAGGUGACCCAGCAGGGCAUCACUACGUAGCCUUUACAAAGAUUUCCCAGGGCUGUAGCCGCCCGUUAGGUUUCCUAAAUGCACCGCACUCCUCCCCAAACAAACAGGUCCUUACGGAGAGGCACUCGAGAAACCGCUUGAGCCCCCUUGAAUACCACAAGUACAACAUCAUAAUAAAGGAGGGGAAAACAGCGUAUCAUUGAUAAUUCUCAUCAUGUUCAUUGAUUAGAGUUGAGCAAUAGUAUAAAGCUAAACAAUAAUAAUCCAACCCAAAUAGGUAAACAAGGACAUGGAUAACAAAAGCUAGUCGAUCCUUAAGUAUAACAAAAGCUAGUCGAUCCUUAAGUACAUUUAAUACAAAAGAACAAUACACCAUACAAUAGAAUGCAAUAAAUAAAUAGACGUUCCACACGGGGCUCGCAACUAUGGUUAAGAGAGAGAAAGAGGAAAAGACAGUCGAGAAACGAUCACGUUACAUAAUUAUAAAUUAAACCACUCGCUUAACAGAAGGGCAUUAAUUUGGACACUAUGUUUAGCAUAAAGUAAAGUCAUGUUUCAUGUUUAAUCAUUAUAGAUAGAUAAAGAUGAAUGAAAAGGGAGUGGUCGCACGGUGAGACGUACGACACAACAUUUAGAUUGAAUUAAGAAAUAAACGACUCGCCGCGCGACAGAGCGCGCAACGAGAUUCUUGCAUUAAUUAAAAGUAAUACGUUAAGCGUUGCGCGACGAAACGCACGACGACUUACGUCAACUGAACUGCAUUUAAACGAAUCGUCGCACGACGAAGUGCGCAACGCAGCACUUUAAUAAAUAUAAAUUAAAAGAAUCGUCGCGCGACGAAGCGCGUGACGCAGCAUAUUAAUAAAGACGAAUUUAGAAUGAACCGUCGCACGGCGAAGCGCGCGACGCAGCACAUCGACUAAACUAAAAUUAAAAUAGAUUAGAACGAGGGUUAAACGCAGCGCGACUACGGUCGCACUCGCGAGAGCACGCUGCGCGUGCCGAAGGCACGCGAACCGUGCAGACAUGCGGGACGCGAGUCGCCGGGGCACGAGCACGGGCUGGGGGCACGGUCGGGGGGGGGGGGGGGCUGAGGCACGGAGGGGCGCGGCCAGGGGGCGGGGCUCGCCGGGGAGCAGGGGAGGGCGCGCGGGGAGGCCGCCGGAGGGGGCCGCGACGGGGACAGGGGCUCGCCGGGGAGCGGGGGAGGGCAUGCAGGGAGGCCGCCAGAGGGGGCUGCGACGGGGGCGGGGCUCGCCGAGGCAGGGCUUGCCGGGGCAGGGAGGGCGCGGGCAGGGGAGGGGCGCGCGGCCAAGGGAGCGCGGCAGGGGAAGAGCGUGCGCGGGGGCGGGCUCGGCGGGGGCAGCCGCGACGAGGGCGGGGAUCGCCGGGGCGCGGGGAGGGGCGCUCGCCGGGGAAGGGGCGCGGGGCGUCGGAGCGGCGCGGGCGCGACCGAGGGGGCUCGCCGGGGCGCGGGGCGGCGCGGGGCGCGCGCGAGCAGGGCGCGGGACGCGCGCGGCCAGGGGAAGAAGGAAGGGAGGGGGAGGGAGAGAGAGAGAGAAGGGAAGGGGAGGGGGAAAACUCACCUCCGGGGAUCCAAACUCCGGCGAUCUCGACUCCAAACCCUAGGGCACCACGGGGGGAGAGAGAGAGGUGGAAGAGGGAGAGUGAGGUUACUGCGCGGGAGAAAUCAAAUAAGCCAAACGGAUCUGGGGGAGGGGGCGCGUGUGGGGAGGGCAGGGGCGCCAGGGGCACGCGGGCCGGACCGGGCCAGGCCAGGUUGGGCUGGGCCACACCGCGGAUCGAAACCCAUGACACGCACGACCACUAAACGGAAUCCGAUCGCGAACCAAAAGUCCGAAACAGGGCGAGACGAACACGCGACAUCAGACAAAGAAAUGUGCUUCGGCAUGAUGCAACACCCAUGAAACUUAGGUUUUGUUUAUACAUGACACGGACACCCGUCACUAUACUGGUUUGAAAUUGGGAAGAAGGAGCGAAACAGGAAGAGAAAAGUGAGUAACGCCCGAAUUUGGUGAGUGAAAAGAAGAUAAAAUUCUACCCCCAAAUUCAGGGCGUUACAAACCUAUCCCCCUUAAAAGAAUCUCGCCCUCGAGAUUCAAGGUUGGCUAGCAAAGAGCUCAGGGUAUUUAGCCAUCAGAUCAUCUUCACGCUCCCAGGUUGCUUCUUCCUCAGAGUGGUGAUUUCAUCUGACUUUGCACAUUCUGAUGAUCUUCCUUCGGGUGACUCUGUCUGCAGUCUCAAGAAUUUGUGUUGGCUUCUCAAUGUAGGUCAAGUCCUCCUGGACUUCAAGACCUUCCACAGGCAACUACUCUUCUUGCACUCGCAGACACUUCUUCAACUGAGACACAUGGAAGACAUCAUGCACAGCAGAUAAAUUUUCUGGCAGACUGAGCUAAUAGGCCACUUCUCCACGCCUUGCGAGAAUCUGAUACGAACCAAUGUAGCGGGGUGCUAGCUUGCCUUUGACUCCGAAUCUUCUGACUCCUCUAAUCGGUGACACUUUCAGAUAGACAAAAUCUCCAACCUCGAAACUCAGCUCUCUUCUUCUUGUGUCUGCAUAGCUUCGUUUCCUUGAUUGCGCUAUCUUCAGAUUCUCUCGAACCAUCUUGAUGUUCUCUUCAGCUUCAAGCAGAAUGUCUGGCCCGAACACUUGCUUUUCUCCAGGUUGAUCCCAUUGCAGUGGAGUUCUACAACUCCUUCCAUAAAGCGCCUGAAAUGGUGAAAUCUUCAAGCUGGCCUGGUAACUGUUGUUAUAGGAGAACUCUGCAUAAGGCAAUCUCUUGUCCCAUCCGGACUGAUCUUGCAACACACAGGCUCUCAACAUGUCUUCAAGGAUUUGAUUGGUCCUUUUGGUCUGACCAUCUGUCUGUGGAUGAUAGGCUGAACUAAAAUUCAGAUGUGUACCUAAGGCUUCAUGCAAUUGCUGCUAGAAAUGAGAGGUGAACUGCGUUCCUUGGUCUGACACUAUCUUCUUUGGCACACCAUGAAGACAAACGAUCCGAGACAUGUACAACUCUGCCAAUACUGCACUGCUGUAGUUGGUCUUGACAGGUAUGAAGUGGGCUGACUUGGUUAAGCGGUCCACUACUACCCAAAUGGAAUCAUAGCCGGCUCGAGUGCAAGGCAAUCCAACUAUGAAGUCCAUACCGAUUUCAUCCCACUUCCACUAAGGAAUUUGCAACGGUUGCAACAAUCCAGCUGGUCUCUGGUGCUCUGCCUUGAUCCUUCGACAACUAUCACACAUAGCCACAUGCUCUGCGAUUUCCCUCUUCAUUCCGUACCACUAGAAUUUCUUCUUUAGAUCCUGAUACAUCUUCUCACUACCAGGGUGAAUCGAAUAAGCUGUCUCAUGAGCUUCCUUGAGAAUCAAUUCUCGAAUAGACUGGACGUUGGGAACACACAAGCGGUCCUUGAACCAUAUCACACCUUCUGCAUCUUACUGAAAAUCUUUGCCUCUGCCAUCUAGAAUCAGUCGCCGGAUCUCACUGAUCUUCUCAUCAUUCUUCUGCGCUCCUUUGAUUUCCCGCUCUAGGGUAGGUUCCAAUUCAAUUGUGACUCCUCGCGUAUUAUUCAGAAAUCCAAGACUCAACCUAUCAAACUCUUUGGCCAACUCAUAAGGCAUCGGACGAGCGAGCAUAAGAUUGACCUGACUCUUCCUGCUCAAAUCAUCUGCCACUACGUUCGCUUUGUCUGGAUGGUAAUGAAUCUCCAACUCAUAGUCUUUGAUCAAUUCUAACCAUCUUCGUUGUCUCAUAUUCAGCUCUGACUGAGUGAAUAUGUACUUCAGACUCUUGUGGUCUGUGUAAACAUCACAUUUCUGCCCAUAUAGAUAGUGCCUCAGGUCUUUAAUGCGUGAACCACUGCCACCAACUCUAGAUCAUGGAUUGGGUAAUUCUUCUCAUUAACCUUCAGCUGUCGGGACGAGUAAGCCACAACUCUUCCCUCUUGCAUCAACACACAUCCCAAACCAGUGUAACAAGCAUCACAAUACACUGAGAAGGGCUUGUGCACAUCAGGCAAGACUAAGACAAGCGCUGUAGUCAACUUCUCUUUCAGCGCUUCGAAGUCCUCUUGACAUUUCUGGGUCCACUUGAACUCAACUUUUUUGCCUAGCAAAGAUGUCAUUGGUUUCGCAAUCUUUGAAAACCCUUCAAUGAAUCGCCGAUAAUAUCCGGCCAUUCCAAUGAAGCUCUUGAUUCCUCGGGCAUCUGUUGGCGCUUUCCAGUUCAGAAUGUCUGCCACUUUCUUUGGAUCCACAGCCAAUCCUUCUUUGUUGAUUAUGUGACCCAAGAACAGGACAUCACUAAUCCAGAACUCGCGCUUGCUCAACUUUGCAUACAACUAGUGCUCUCGCAAUCUCUGCAAUACCAUCCUCAAAUGAUCUGCAAGCUCUGCUUCGCUUUGAGAAUAUAUCAAAAUAUCAUCAAUAAAUACCACCACAAACUUAUCAAGAUAAUCCAUGAAUACACUGUUCAUCAGAUUCAUAAAGAAGGCCGGUGCAUUUGUUAGACCAAAAGACAUCACAGUGAACUCAUACAACCCAUACUUGGUAAUGAAUGCCGUCUUCGGAAUGUCUGAAGGUCAGAUCCUGAGCUGAUGAUAACCUGACCUCAGAUCUAUUUUGGAGAACACGCUGGCUCCUCUCAACUGGUCGAACAGAUCUUCUAUUCUGGGCUAGGGGUACUUAUUCUUGAUGGCGACCUCAUCCAGAGCUCGAUAAUCGAUACACAUCCUUUUGGUGCCAUCUUUCUUCUCCACAAAUAGGACAGGGGCGGCCCAAGGCGAGGUGCUUGGCCGGAUGUAUCCUUUCUCUGAUAGCUCAUCGAUCUGCUUCUUAAGCUCAACCAACUCUGGUCCGGAUAUUCUGUAAGCUCUCUUAAAGAUGGGGGCGGUGCCAGGAAGAAGUUCUAUGGCAAACUCAACUUUUCGCUCUGGUGGCAUACCUGGUAAGUCCUUUGGAAACACAUCUGGGAACUCGGACACAACCUUGAUACUCUCAAUUGGGUCUGCUUCACUGCUAUCGACAGCCAUAUGAUAACAACUUCCUUUCUUUGGCUCAGGCAGGACUAACUUGGUCACCACUUCCUCUCCUAGUGAGGACACCAACUUGAUUGUCCUCUUAUCACAACUGAUAACUGCCUGAUACUUAUCUAGCCAAUUCAUCCCUAGGAUGACAUCUAUUCCCUGAGUACACAUUACUAUGAGAUUAGCGGGAAACGCUAUCCCCUUAUUUCCACACUUACAUUCAAACAAAUGCUAUCAGCUCGAAUUCUACCACCGGCUGAGUCAAUUUGAAUGGGGGUUGACAUGGUAGUAAUUGGAAGAUUAUGUGCUUCUACCCAUGAUGCAGUAAUGAAUGAAUGCGUUGCUCCAGUAUCAAAUAACACUUCUGCAAUAUGGGAGUCGACUAGGAACAUACCUACUAUCAUGCCGGGGGUCUCCUGAACUGCUUCAGCCUCCAAGUGGUUCAGUCUCCCAUGGUUAUAGCGUGGCUGAGAGUGGUUGCCUGCUCCAGGCUGAGGCACAUUCUGCUUUGCUGGGGCAUUGGGGCCUGACUGCUGCUAGACUGCCUUCUUCGGACAUUGCAUCACCCAAUGGCCUUGCUCUCCACAAUGGAAACACACUCUGUUUCCACCCUGAACUGGUGCGGCUUGACUGUUCUGCUGGUUCGCUGGGGCAGGAAGACGAGGUGCCUGCUGAUUCUGCCUCUGGAACUGGCCUCCUUGUGACUGAUUGUUCUGGCGAUUCUAAUGCUGAUGCUAAGGAUACUGCCUUUGAAACUACUGCUGCUGAGGUGGACGCUGGUUCUGCCUGAACUGCUGAGGUUGAUUGCCUGAGAAACAAGGACGAUUGCUGCUUCCAGGCUGGGGUCCACUAAUCUUGCGCUUGCGAUCCUCCAUCUCUUUGCACUUCCUCUCUGUCAUGAUCGCUCUGUCAAUCAGGUGCUGGAACGUCGGGAAGGUAUGAUUCAUCAACUGAUACUGCAGAGGGUCAACCAAGCCUCUCAGGAAACGAUAUUGUCUCUUGGCGUCGGUGUUGACAUCUUCAGGAGCAUAGCGAGACAACUGUAGAAACCUGUCCCGGUACUCACUGACAGACAGUGACCUUUGCUUUAGGGCUAGGAACUCCUCCUUCUUCACUGUCAUCAGACCUGCAGGAACAUGGUACUGACGAAAGCUACCUCUGAAUUCUUCCCAGGUGAUGGUGUCAGGGUUGGCAUGGGUGGCGAGAUAAGACUCCCACCAUGACUGGGCUGCUCCUCUCAACAGACGGGGACCAUACAGAACUUUCUCCCUGUCAUCACACUGAGUGGUAUGCAACACCCGCUCCACAGUGCGCAGCCAGUCUUUAGCAUCCAUGGGGUCAGAAGAAUGAGCGAACGUUGGGGGAUGACCUCUCAUGAAUUCAGCACGCUUGUCCCUAGGCAUCUGAGGCAUCUGAGGCUGAGGUGGUGGUUGUUGCUACCGCUGCUGCUGAAUGGCGUCCAGAGUCUGACCGAUGGCUUGAACUGCCUGAGUCUGCAUCAGGAACAUCUGCUCGAUGGACAUCGGGGGCAGGGGUGGCAGUUGCUGUUGCUGGGGUACCUCAUCCUGCUGAGCUGCUUGCUCCUGCUGAGCACGCCUUCCUCCUCUGCGCAUGUUUUCUGACAUCUGCAGAAUGCAACCACACAUCAGAACUAAUCUUGCAAAUCUUGCAGCAUAAGAAAAGAGUGUAGAAUUCUUCCACAGCACUGAACAGAUGAGCAUCUUCACUGAUCUCCAACACAGACCAACACAGCUUCUCAGAUAAAGAGGAAAGUGGAAUAAAAGGCUUCCCAACUAGAUAACUAACUUCAUUAACAUAUAACAGGUAACCCAAAAUGCAGGGGAUACCCACACUCUGGUGACAGUCAUUACAAAGAUCCAAAUCCAACAUAGUUCAUCAUGACAAACAUAAAUGCACAGGAUAAGCAAACUACCCUGUCUAACUAAGACUAACUAAAAGCAAGACUAACGCUAAGACUAUAGCUUCUAUGUAUAUAUUUUCGUAUUAAUUACAAGAUCUGACUCUGACGAUCUAUGGUUCUAAAUUUAUCUUGGUCUUGCAGUCGGGGUUGCUAUAAGAAUGGUGCCCACGCCGAGGUGAGCGGUACGGGUGCUGAGUCCCGACGGGAGCGGGGGAACCAUCAUCCAGGUGACGACGCUCCGCGCGCUCAGCCCGCAGCUGGGCGAUCUCAGCAUGAGCCCUACUCAGCUCGUCUAAUGCAUGGUCCAGCUCCGUGUUUAGCAUGGCGGCUAGGUUGACUGUGCUGCUCAACCUAGGGUUGUCCUCACCAACAGGUGAGACAAUCACGCCUCCUGUGCUGCCAGAUGGACAGUGGGGGUAAUACUUCAGGUUGAGACCAUCGGCUACCCCACCGAGCACUGAGCAGUAGUGCGAAAGCACACGCCGUGCGGCAUCUUGCAUGGCCGCCUCAGCUGAGUCCCGCUCAGAGAUAGAAUGGUGCUCUGAGCAGACCUCAGCACCCCAGAGACUGUUCUCUGGACGGCGCACCAAGCAGGUCGUCUCCCAGCGGUCCGGGUAGACCCCGCGACUGUGCUGGAAGACCACACAACGAUACUCGAUAGACCAAGUACGCCGGUCAAGUGCCUGACGUAGCAGGGUGUCGAGCGCAUCGUGGAAGUGACACCCGCGAGCAGCAUCGCGAGUGAUGGGUCGAGCAACCCAUCCUUCCGGCUCCUGGUCAGCAGAAAAGUCAGUGUCAUGGCUCGAGCUGCUGUCGCCACCUCCGUCGUCUGGGUCUCCUCCAGCAGCUACUCCAGGGACUAAGCGCUCAGUGGUGGUGUAGGGGGCGCCUCCAGGGGAAGCACAGGGGAGCAGCUCCUCAUAGACUCUAUCUCCUGCUGGAGCGAGAAAGAAGAGCCUUGCUGCUCCUACUCCUGUCGUCGACGCUCCUGCUCCUCAUGUAGGCGGUGGUGCAGCCUCUCCAAGUGGCUGGACUGACCGGUCACGAGACGGCGAAGCGGACGCUCCACGAGACGGGAGGGUAAGAAGGGGAUGACAGACUUCCGUGCAGUGUGUCUAAGACGAGCCAUCUACAAAAGACACCGCAAGCAUAAGAGUGAGAACAGAACUAGUAUGACCAGCAAGUAAACCAUGAAUAAAUGAAGGAUCAGAAUAAAACACAAUUUUCAGCAAGGUAUAAUAUAUAGUAGAACAUAGGUUUGGUCGAUAUGACCAACUUUUGAAGGGAUACCAAAGUCAAGGCAGGGACAGAGGUCUAUAAUCCUUAGAACGACCAUUCUACUCUAGGUUAGCGGUCCUACAGUCAGCACGGCUUUGAUACCACCUUAUAUCACACCCAGUUUUAGAAGGCAAACCGAAUGCGAACCAUGUACGUGCCAUGAUCAGCAAUUCACGUACACAACAGUUACAUAACUGGAAAUCAUAACACAGUGCUCAAAUAGUACUAAAAAAGGGAAUAAUAGUCGAUUACAUCAUUUGUCUGAGACAUCCACAUAGUCUUUACAAUAAUCAAAGUGCGAAAACGAAACGUAGAUACACGCAGCCUUCAUAGGCAGCCGACUGGGGGUUGCCGCUAACCCACACCUAGAACUCAUCGUAAUCUUGGAACUCCUGGUGGUCUCCUUCCACAUCUUCAUCCUCUCCUGAGCAGGGGUUGCAAUGCUGACAACCUGGGGAUGGGGGGGUUGGUGUGUAGAGCAAGGGUGAGUACACAUCAACAUACUCAGCAAAUAUCCUGUUUGGCUGUAGUGGACUAGCUUUAUGUGGGGGUAAGUCAAGCAGAUUGCUUUUAGUUGGUCAGAUUAUUAUUACUAGUAGAGAAAGCCAAGUUUUAAAAUUAACCCACGUUAUUAACCCAAAUGUACUCCUUUCCAAACAGAAAGGGUACCACAUACCAUUACCAGAGUCAAUACCAAGAACCAUCAAUCUCAUUGCCACCUGCAAUCCGAACAUCUCUGAUCAAGUACCACUAAUCACUGGAGCUCCCUUGGCCGCUCAUAACCAUGAGCACGACUGAUAUAUCAGUUUUCAAACACUCUGCAGAGGUUGUGCACUUUACCCACAAGCCGUGAUUCCCUUUCUGCCCAGAGAUCAUGACUCUCCAUUGAUCACUACCAAGGUGACCCAGCAGGGCAUCACUACGUAGCCUUUACAAAGAUUUCUCGGGGCUGUAGCCGCUCGUUAGGUUUCCUAAAAGCACCGCACUCCUCCCCAAGGGGUGAACCCAAACUUGGUAGAGCGAGGCGCAUACACCGAGCCCCAUUAACGGCACAACGGCUAAGCGAACUACACCCCAGUUCCUCUAAUUAUUUAGAUAAGGGCACCCAUUCCACCCACAUGGUUGCACUGUUUUCCCGGGCGGUCAUCCAACAAACAGGUCCUUACGGAGAGGCACUCGAGAAACCGCUCGAGCCCCCUAGAAUACCACAAGUAUAACAUCAUAAUAAAGGAGGGGAAAACAACGUAUCAUUGAUAAUUCUCAUCAUGUUCAUUGAUUAGAGUUGAGCAAUAGCAUAAAGCUAAACAAUAAUAAUCCAACCCAAAUAGGUAAACAAGGACAUGGAUAACAAAAGCUAGUCGAUCCUUAAGUAUAAUUGUGAAACACGGGAGGUGAAUUAAAGAAUGUAUAAGACAGAAAUAGGUUAAGGGACACUUGCCUCCACCAACCAGCUGCUGCUCAGGGGCUUCUCCCGUGGGUUCCUCGGGCUCUUCAACCAGAUCGUUCUCUAUACGAGCGCAAACGUACAUACAUCCACACAUUUAAUACAAAAGAACAGUACACCAUACAAUAGAAUGCAAUAAAUAAACAGAUGUUCCACGCGGGGCUCGCAACUAUGGUUAAGAGAGAGAAAGAGGAAAAACAGUCGAGAAACGAUCACGUUACAUAAUUAUAAAUUAAACCACUCGCUUAACAGAAGGGCAUUAAUUUGGAUACUACGUUUAGCAUAAAGUAAAGUUAUGUUUCAUGUUUAAUCAUUAUAGAUAAAUAAAGAUGAAUGAAAGGGAGUGGUCGCACGGCGAGACGUACGACACAACAUUUAGAUUGAAUUAAGAAAUAAACGACUCGCCGCGCGACAGAGCGCGCAACGAGACUCUUGCAUUAAUUAAAAGUAAUACGUUAAGCGUUGCGCGACGAAACGCACGACGGCUUACGUCAACUGAACUGCAUUUAAACGAAUCGUCACGCGACGAAGCGCGCAACGCAGCACUUUAAUAAAUAUAAAUUAAAAGAAUCAUCGCGCGACGAAGCGCGCGACGAAGCACAUCAACUAAACUAAAAUUAAAAUAGAUUAGAACGAGGGUUAAAUGCAGCGCGACUACGGUCGCACUCGCGAGAGCACGCUGCGCGUGCCGAAGGCACGCGAACCGUGCAGACGCGCGGGACGCGAGUCGCCGGGGCACGGGCGCGGGCAGGGGGCACGGCCCGGGGGGCCGAGGGCGCGUGGCCGAGGCACGGCGGGGCGAGGCCAGGGCGCGGCACGGGGCUAGGGGCGGGGCGCGGCCGAGGGAGCGGCGUGGGGGUGGGGCUCGCCGGGGAGCAGGGGAGGGCGCGCGGGGAGGCCACCGGAGGGGGGCUGCGAUGGGGACGGGGGCUCGCCGGGGCGGGGCUCACCAGGGAGCGGGGGAGGGCGCGCGGGGAGGCCGCCGGAGGGGGACCGUGACGGGGGUGGGGCUCGCCGGGGCGGGGAGGGCGUGGGCAGGGGAGGGGCGCGCGGCCAGGGGAAGGGCGGGCGCGGGGGCGGGCUCGGCGGGGCGCGGGGAGGGGCGCUCGUCGAGGAAGGGGCGCGGGACGCCGGAGCGGCGCGGGCGCGGCCGAGGGCGGCGCGGGGCUUGCGCGAGCAGGGCGCGGGACGCGCGCGGCCAGGGGAAGAAAGAAGGGAGGGGGAGGGAGAGAGAGAGAAGGGAAGGGGAGGGAAAAAACUCAACUCCGGGGAUCCAAACUCCGGCGAUCUCGACUCCAAACCCUAGGGCACCACGGGGAGAGAGAGAGAGGUGGAAGAGGGAGAGGGAGGUUACUGCACGGGAGAAAUCAAAUGAGCCAAACGGAUCUGGGGGAGGGGGGCGCGCGUGGGGAGGGCAGGGGCGCGCGGGCCGGGCUGAGCCACACCGUGGAUCGAAACCCACGACACGCACGACCACUAAACGGAAUCCGAUCGCGAACCAAAAGUCCAAAGCGGGGCGAGACGAACACACGACAUCAGACAAAGAAAUGUGCUUCGGCAUGAUGCAACACCCAUGACACUUAGGUUUUGUUUAUACAUGACACGGACACCCGUCACUAUACUGGUUUGAAAUUGGGAAGAAGGAGCGAAACGAGAAGAGAAAAGAGAGUAACGCCCGAAUUUGGUGACUGAAAAGAAGAAAAAAUUCUACCCCCAAAUUCAGGGCGUUACACUGCUCCUCGUCCCAACCAAACUACGAGCAAAAGACCUCAUUUUCUUUGACAUCCUGUUUUAACAAAAAAACAAGUUAGUACAUAAAUUGACAACAAAAUAAUGAAACAAAGUAAAAAAUAUUAAAUAUACAAUAAAAUAAUGAUCCAUACUCGUCAAUCAUAAUCAUAAUCAAAAUCAGGAUCUAGUUGCUUUCGUCGAUUCAAUGGACGCCAAGUAGCUUUGUUCUUUCUUGACACUCGUUUUCUUUUUGGAGGAACCUCUACAUCAUUUUGAUCGCCUAAUAAAGAUUAUUCCAACGUUUUAGCUUGUACAUUAAACGUGCUCGUAAGUUCAUCGUCUUGGAAAAUCUCAGCAACCCCUAUUUCCUGCUCGAUUUGACUUUCAACAUAACUUUAGGUUUUGUUGAUUUAUUGCGCGAUGAUUUUAUUGAAAAAGAUCGUUCUCGCGGUAUCUUUUUCACUCAGGACUGGGUAUCCAUGCCAGGUGUUAUAUCGGUGGCUUCUGGGGGUAUUCAUGUUUGGCAUAUGCCAGCUCUGACCGAAAUCUUUGGAGAUGAUUCCGUAUUACAAUUUGGUGGAGGAACUUUAGGACAUCCUUGGGGAAAUGCACCUGGUGCAGCAGCUAAUCGUGCGGC
rnacentral:lncRNA from 1 species